AGGAAAAGAAACUAACAAGGAUUCCCCUAGUAACGGCGAGUGAAGCGGGAAGAGCUCAAAUUUGAAAUCUGGCAGUCUUCGAUUGUCCGAGUUGUAAUCUAUAGAGGCGUUUUCCGUGCCGGACCGUGUCCAAGUCUCCUGGAAAGGAGUAUCAAAGAGGGUGAUAAUCCCGUACUUAACACGACCACCGGUGCUCUGUGAUACGUCUUCUACGAGUCGAGUUGUUUGGGAAUGCAGCUCAAAAUGGGUGGUGAAUUCCAUCUAAAGCUAAAUAUUGGCGAGAGACCGAUAGCGAACAAGUACCGUGAGGGAAAGAUGAAAAGCACUUUGGAAAGAGAGUUAAACAGUACGUGAAAUUGUUGAAAGGGAAACGAUUGAAGUCAGUCGUGUUCUUUGGAUUCAGCCAGUUCUGCUGGUCUACUUCCUUGGAACGGGUCAACAUCAGUUUUGUCCGGUGGAUAAAGGUAGUAGGAAUGUGACUUCUCCGGAAGUGUUAUAGCCUAUUAUUCACAUACACUGGGUGAGACUGAGGACUGCAGCUCGCCUUUAUGGCCGGCCUUCGGAACGCUCGAGCUAGAUUA
rnacentral:rRNA from 1 species